rnacentral:ribozyme from 1 species
UGCCUAGUUACUCCUAUCCCUACCUCCACGCGGUACCGGCCAGAAACUGUGAGAAACCUUAGGGAAGAUCUGGUAACCAACCCCGGAGGGGACUUUGGUCGUAGGCUGACAGGGAAGG